rnacentral:snoRNA from 1 species
GUGAUGAUGAUCCUUCCCCUCACCUGAACGGUGAUGAGCCUACGGUAGGCUGAUGA